rnacentral:tRNA from 2 species
UCGGGGGUAGCUCAGUUGGCAGAGCAACGGACUGUUAAUCCGUCGGUCGUGGGUUCGAGCCCCACCCCCCGAGCAA